rnacentral:misc_RNA from 1 species
GAUGAAGAACGUAGCGAAAUGCGAUAAGUAAUGUGAAUUGCAGAAUUCAGUGAAUCAUCGAAUCUUUGAACGCACAUUGCGCCCGCCAGUAUUCUGGCGGGCAUGCCUGUCCGAGCGUCAUUUCAACCCUCAAGCCCCCGGGCUUGGUGUUGGAGAUCGGCGAGCCCCCCGGGGCGCGCCGUCUCCCAAAUAUAGUGGCGGUCCCGCUGUAGCUUCCUCUGCGUAGUAGCACACCUCGCACUGGGAAACAGCGUGGCCACGCCGUAAAACCCCCCACUUCUGAAAGGUUGACCUCGGAUCAGGUAGGAAUACCCGCUGAACUUAAGCAUAUCAAUAACGGAGGA